GCUGGAUGCCAUGAUGACAUCACCAGAUGCAGAUGUGAUGUCACAAUAGAACAGAACAGCAAAAUCCUGCUGAUCUGGAGACUGAGCCUCACACUACAGUGAUUUGACGGAGAAAGAGGAUGGACUUAAAAACGACUUUGUUGUUGCUGGCGGCGGGGGUGAUUUGGGCGGCAUUAAUGCUGGCGUUUUUAUACCUGUAUUUUUGCUACAGGAAUGAUAAUAAGAAGCAAAUAAAAUACUCUAAACUGGAAGAGAUCGUGGUGGAGGGGAAAGGAGAAAAAAAAGCUGAUGACCUAUCGCAGAUGGAGGCGGACAGCGGAGAGUGAACCGAUCUGCAGAGGAUAUGAACAGCUGGGAGUUUGGGGAAAGGGAAAAAUAUAAAAAGGGGAGUAAAAAAAAAAAAAAUAGAAAAUAAUCUGAAAAAAAUAAAAAAAAUAAAAAAUAAUCUAAAAAUAUAUAAAAAAAAUAAAUAAAAAUAAUAAGAUGAGUUGUGGUAGUAUGUUU